AAGAUAGAGUUUGAUCCUGGCUCAGAUUGAACGCUGGCGGUAUGCUUAAGACAUGCAAGUCGAACGGAAUCUUCGGAUUCAGUGGCGGACGGGUGAGUAACACGUGGGAAUCUACUGAGUAGUGGGGGACAGCCCGGCGAAAGCCGGAUUAAUACCGCAUACGCCCUACGGGGGAAAGGCGCAAGCCGCUAUUUAAUGAGCCCGCGUAAGAUUAGCUAGUUGGUAGGGUAAAGGCUUACCAAGGCAACGAUCUUUAGCUGGUCUGAGAGGAUGACCAGCCACAUCGGGACUGAGACACGGCCCGGACUCCUACGGGAGGCAGCAGUCGGGAAUAUUGGACAAUGGGCGCAAGCCUGAUCCAGCAAUACCGCGUGUGUGAAGAAGGCCUGCGGGUUGUAAAGCACUUUCAGUUGGGAAGAUAAUGACGUUACCAACAGAAGAAGCACCGGCUAACUCCGUGCCAGCAGCCGCGGUAAUACGGAGGGUGCAAGCGUUAAUCGGAAUUACUGGGCGUAAAGCGUGCGUAGGCGGUUUUUUAAGUCAGAUGUGAAAUCCCCGGGCUCAACCUGGGAACUGCAUCUGAUACUGGGAGACUAGAGUGUGGGAGAGGAGAGUGGAAUUUCCGGUGUAGCGGUGAAAUGCAUAGAGAUCGGAAGGAACAUCAGUGGCGAAGGCGACUCUCUGGACCAACACUGACGCUGAGGCACGAAAGCGUGGGUAGCAAACAGGAUUAGAUACCCUGGUAGUCC
rnacentral:rRNA from 1 species